rnacentral:rRNA from 1 species
GAACGGGCAGGCACGGGAGCAAUCCUGGUGGCGAGUGGCGAACGGGUGAGUAAUAUAUCGGAACGUGCCCAGUCGUGGGGGGAUAACGUAGCGAAAGCUACGCUAAUACCGCAUACGAUCUACGGAUGAAANCGGGGGAUCGCAAGACCUCGCGCGAUUGGAGCGGCCGAUAUCAGAUUAGGUAGUUGGUGAGGUAAAGGCUCACCAAGCCGACGAUCUGUAGCUGGUUUGAGAGGACGACCCAGCCACACUGGGACUGAGACACGGCCCAGACUCCUACGGGAGGCAGCAGUGGGGAAUUUUGGACAAUGGGCGCAAGCCUGAUCCAGCAAUGCCGCGUGCAGGAUGAAGGCCUUCGGGUUGUAAACUGCUUUUGUACGGAACGAAACGGUGAGCUCUAAUACAGUUUGCUAAUGACGGUACCGUAAGAAUAAGCACCGGCUAACUACGUG